rnacentral:rRNA from 1 species
GACGAACGCUGGCGGCAUGCUUUAUACAUGCAAGUCGUGCGGCAGCGCGGGGCAACCUGGCGGCGAGCGGCGAACGGGUGAGUAAUACAUAGGAACGUAUCCUGAAAUGGGGAUAGCUCGGCGAAAGCCGGAUUAAUACCGCAUACGCUCCACGGAGGAAAGCAGGGGAUCGCAAGACCUUGCGUUUCUGGAGCGGCCUAUGUCUGAUUAGCUAGUGGCGGGGUAAUAGCCCACCAAGGCGACGAUCAGUAGCUGGUCUGAGAGGAUGAUCAGCCACACUGGGACUGAGACACGGCCCAGACUCCUACGGGAGGCAGCAGUAGGGAAUUUUGGACAAUGGGGGCAACCCUGAUCCAGCCAUGCCGCGUGAGUGAAGAAGG